CUCUAUUUGAUUUUCUUCGGAAAUGAAGAUUUUGUGACUGAGUGGCGGACGGGUGAGUAACGCGUGGGUAACCUGCCUCAUACAGGGGGAUAACAGUUGGAAACGACUGCUAAUACCGCAUAAGCGCACAGGAUCACAUGAUCCGGUGUGAAAAACUCCGGUGGUAUGAGAUGGACCCGCGUCUGAUUAGCCAGUUGGCAGGGUAACGGCCUACCAAAGCGACGAUCAGUAGCCGACCUGAGAGGGUGACCGGCCACAUUGGGACUGAGACACGGCCCAAACUCCUACGGGAGGCAGCAGUGGGGAAUAUUGCACAAUGGGGGAAACCCUGAUGCAGCGACGCCGAGUGAGCGAAGAAGUAUUUCGGUAUGUAAAGCUCUAUCAGCAGGGAAGAAGAAUGACGGUACCUGACUAAGAAGCACCGGCUAAAUACGUGCCAGCAGCCGCGGUAAUACGUAUGGUGCAAGCGUUAUCCGGAUUUACUGGGUGUAAAGGGAGCGCAGGCGGUGCGGCAAGUCUGAUGUGAAAGCCCGGGGCUCAACCCCGGUACUGCAUUGGAAACUGUCGUACUAGAGUGUCGGAGGGGUAAGUGGAAUUCCUAGUGUAGCGGUGAAAUGCGUAGAUAUUAGGAGGAACAC
rnacentral:rRNA from 1 species